ACGCUGGCGGCGUGCUUAUGCAUGCAAGUCGAACGGCCUGAUUUAUCGAGAUAGUGGCGAACGGGUGAGUAACGCGUAAGCAACCUGCCCCUAAGUAGGGGAUAACUCUGAGAAAUUAGAGCUAAUACCAUAUGUGGUGGUGGAGGUAAUGCUUCAUCACUAAAGCUUUAGGGCGCUUAGGGAGGGGCUUGCGUCCGAUUAGCUAGUUGGUAGAGUAAUGGUUUACCAAGGCGAUGAUCGGUAGCUGGUUUGAGAGGACAUCCAGCCACAUUGGGACUGAGAUACGGCCCAGACUCCUACGGGAGGCAGCAGCAAGGAAUUUUGUGCAAUGGGCGAAAGCCUGACACAGCGACGCCGUGUGGGGGACGAAGGCUUUCGGGUUGUAAACCCCUUUUCUCAGGGAAGAAUAAUGACGGUACCUGAGGAAUAAGUCGUGGCUAACUACGUGCCAGCAGCCGCGGUAAUACGUAGGCGGCGAGCGUUAUCCGGAUUUACUGGGCGUAAAGAGGGCGUAGGCGGUUUUUCAAGUCGAUUGUAAAAUCUCCCGGCUUAACUGGGAGGAGUCAUUGGAUACUGUUAAACUAGAGAACAGCAGGGGGAGGUGGAAUUCCCGGUGUAGUGGUGAAAUGUGUAGAUAUCGGGAGGAACACCAGUGGCGAAGGCGGCCUCCUAGGCUGUUUCUGACGCUGAGGUCCGAAAGCGUGGGGAGCAAACAGGAUCAGAUACCCUGGUAGUCCACGCUGUAAUCGAUGGACACUAGGUAUAGGGAGUAUCGACCCUCUCUGUGCCGAAGCUAACGCAUUAAGUGUCCCGCCUGGGGACUACGGCCGCAAGGGCUAAAACUCAA
rnacentral:rRNA from 1 species